GGCUGCAUGGUACAAUGGUUAGUGCUCUGGAUUUUGAAGCUAGUGAUUUGAGUUCAUUUCUUGGUGGAGCCU
rnacentral:tRNA from 1 species